rnacentral:sRNA from 1 species
CUGACAGCUCUGGAGGCUGGAAUUCUUUAUUCAUCCACUGAGCAGGUACAGCAUAGGCAGCAGCAGAAUCUAGUACUCAGCCAAGAUGAUUCAACCCACAGGGGCUACAUGUGUACUGAGGAGUGAGUUUAAAUUCCUGGAGCCAAAUCUUCAGUUUAUGAAAACU